ensembl:lncRNA
GUUUGUGUUAUCAUGGUUGCAUGGUUACUGGGAGGCUCACCCCUGCUGACCUUUGGAGCUUCCCUUUUGUGUUUCCUAUUUCCAAGCAGAGAAGGGAGGUAUUUUUCAUACAGAAAUACAGAGGCCACGCUCAGUGUCCUCGUUAGACAAAUCACCCAGCAUUCGUUGCUUUGAAGUGGAAUCAGGCAGCCGCCCCUCAGUCCGGUGGCGCCUGUUGACACGUCAUGCUGUAACGCACACUCCACAGGAAGGAAGAUAAGGUGGCAUUUCAGAGAUGUUCAUACCAUAGGAUGCCCACUGCUUGGGAUGAGGAGCAGGGUGGCUGUCAGCACUUCCAUCUCAGGAGCUGUUUUUGGUAGCGGCCAUGGGGAAAGCCAAAGAAGUCAAGCACUGAGAGAUGAAGACAAAGAACAAACAUUAUAAGGGACACAGAUUAAUAAAAGAAGCUUGGCCACACUACCUCCCCAUAAGCGACUGCCGUUUGUGUUAUCACAGUGCUGAAGGAGAGCUGGGAGUGAGCUGUCAGCAGAUGGUAAGCAGCAACUCUGGCAGGUCUGCAAAUGAGGGAAUUUCCCUGCCUGAGCCAGUGGGAUCAAGUACUCAUCUUUGCUGGAUUGCUCUUUACAAGUCAAGAGAGCCCAUCAGGUCAAAACAUGUGCUUCACCGUGGCUGGCCUAAAGAGAAAAGCUUUUUUCUCCUGUGAAACACAGACUUUUCUCUGUUCCACUUAAUAGGUACUCUCCAGGAGAUGCAAAGAAAUACAUCUAAAAAAAACAAACCCAGGGCUCAUCUACUUUUCUAGUUUUCAGUCACCCUACCAAAGUGGUGCUUCUGUUCUGCAAACAAACUGGGUGCGAGCGCACUAACGCAUGCACAGACCUCAUUGUAAUCACUUCUUCCUACCAGCUUCUCUGUCUGCUCCCUUUGCUACACACAGUGGAGAGACAGAAGAGAGUGGUUCGUGUAUAAAACUCCACAGGGAUUCUCUGGCUCUUUCUUUUCUCGUUUUGUGGCUUUGCAGCAUACAGGGUAGCUAUGAUGAAGCAAUCACAUAUGCAAAUAUAUAAAGGUGGG